rnacentral:rRNA from 1 species
GAUGAACGCUGACAGAAUGCUUAACACAUGCAAGUCUUUGGCGAAGCUGUGCUUGCACAGCCUAGCCAAGGCGGACGGGUGAGUAACGCGUAAGGAACUUGCCCUGCAGUCAGGGAUAACAGACGGAAACGACUGAUAAGACCUGGUAAAGUCAGGCGGACUCAUGUCCAGCCUGAUGAAAAGAGAUGCUGCAGGAGAGCCUUGCGUCCUAUUAGCUUGUUGGUGGGGUAACGGCCCACCAAGGCGAUGAUGGGUAGCCGGCCUGAGAGGGUGGACGGCCACAAGGGGACUGAGAUACGGCCCUUACACCUACGGGAGGCAGCAGUGGGGAAUAUUGGACAAUGGGGGCAACCCUGAUCCAGCAAUUCUGUGUGCACGAUGAAGGUUUUCGGAGUGUAAAGGGCUUUCAGCAGGGAAGAAAAAAAUGACGGUACCUGCAGAAGAAGCGACGGCUAAAUACGUG